UACAGGGGGGCGAGCGUUGUUCGGAAUUACUGGGCGUAAAGGGUUUGUAGGUGGCUUGCUCAGUCAGACGUGAAAUCCCUCAGCUUAACUGGGGAACUGCGUCUGAUACUAGCGAGCUUGAGUGCAGGAGAGGAACGCGGAAUUCCAGGUGUAGCGGUGAAAUGCGUAGAUAUCUGGAGGAACACCGGUGGCGAAGGCGGCUUUCUGGACAGUAACCGACGCUGAGGCGCGAAAGCUAGGGGAGCAAACAGG
rnacentral:rRNA from 1 species